rnacentral:misc_RNA from 1 species
GAUGAAGAACGUAGCGAAAUGCGAUAAGUAGUGUGAAUUGCAGAAUUCAGUGAAUCAUCGAAUCUUUGAACGCACAUUGCGCCCCUUGGUAUUCCAUGGGGCAUGCCUGUUCGAGCGUCAUUUGUACCUUCAAGCUCUGCUUGGUGUUGGGUGUUUGUCUCGCCUCUGCGUGUAGACUCGCCUCAAAACAAUUGGCAGCCGGCGUAUUGAUUUCGGAGCGCAGUACAUCUCGCGCUUUGCACUCAUAACGACGACGUCCAAAAGUACAUUUUUACACUCUUGACCUCGGAUCAGGUAGGGAUACCCGCUGAACUUAAGCAUACAAUAAGCGGAGGA